UCUUCUUCUUCUUCUUCUUCUAAUAAAACCCUACAGUUACAUUCUAACAACACCAAAGCCAUCUUUGAGUCUCCUACUAAAAAGGUGGAAUCUUUGCCUACUGUAACCAGAUUACUACCCACUUCGGUUAUACCCAAAGUAAAGUCUGGUCAGUUUCUUUCUGUUAUGUGUUAUCUGCUCUACAUGGCCUUGUACGUUUAUAUGGAGAUUGCUUCUUUUAAAAAACAAAGAUACCUCUUUCUUCAGAAUUGUCUCAAAUUAUGGUUCUCAGAUAAAUUGACUAAUCUUUUGCUUUCCUGCCGUUGUAACUAUCUUUGCACCGGUUUCAUUGUUAUCUAGCUAUAUAGUGACUCUUAUCUGCUUUUGUGGCCUUGUGCUUGAGAAGAUGAAAGCUCAAAGGGUUUACCAAAGCUCUAUGUCAAAUUUAUUCUUCAUGCCAGUGGAAAUAUUGCUGCUAAAUUUUCAUAUGACCCGGUAUUAGUAGCUGCUAUCCACAAGAUCGCUAGAGCCACUUGGAAUGCGAAAGAGAGAUUAUGGAUUUUCCCAAUGUCCUCUUUGUUGUCAGCUGAAAAAGUUUUCAGUGAAAUAUCUAGUUUUAAUGUUGAGGUAGAAAACUUAGAUCCCUUGGUGCAACGUGCUAUUACUGCUGCUUCUGCUGUUCCAGAUCUUCGAGACUGGUAUGACAAGAUACCUAAUUAUGUCGAGUCAAAGCUUCUGCCUUUUCAGCGGGAUGGUGUUAGGUUUGUGUUGCAGCAUGGAGGGCGUGCACUCUUAGCCGAUGAAAUGGGACUAGGAAAGACUUUACAGGCUAUUGCUGUAACUUCAUGCCUUCGUGAUUUCUGGCCUGUUCUAAUACUCACACCAUCUUCCCUGCGUUUGCAUUGGGCUUCAAUGAUUCAACAAUGGCUGAAUAUUCCUUCAUCAGAUAUACUUGUUGUUUUAUCACAAUGGAGUGGAUCAAACAGAGGUGGAUUCUCAUUAGUAUCAUCGAAUAUCAAGCACAAUAUUCAUCUUGAUGGUCUAUUCAACAUAAUCUCUUAUGAUGUAGUCCCUAAGUUGCAGAAUGUUCUAAUGGCAUCAGAAUUUAAGGUUGUGAUUGCAGAUGAGUCGCACUUCAUGAAAAAUGCUCAAGCAAAGAGGACAACUGCCUCUCUUCCAGUUAUAAAGAAAGCUCAAUAUGCAAUACUGCUUAGUGGAACUCCUGCUUUAUCCAGACCAAUAGAGCUAUUCAAACAGCUGGAAGCUUUGUAUCCUGGUGUGUACAAGAAUGUUCAUGAAUAUGGUAACCGAUAUUGCAAGGGGGGAAUUUUUGGAGUUUAUCAAGGUGCAAGUAACCAUGAAGAAUUGCACAACUUGAUGAAGGCAACAGUUAUGAUUCGCAGACUUAAAAAGGAUGUUCUUUCUGAACUUCCUGUAAAGCGUCGACAGCAAGUUUUCUUAGAUUUGGUGGAGAAGGACAUGAAAAAAAUCAACGCUUUAUUCCGUGAGUUGGAGUUUGUAAAAGGAAAAAUUAAGGCAUGCUUAUCUGCUGAGGAGGUUGAAUCACUAAAGUUUUCUGAGAAGAAUCUUAUUAAUAAGAUAUAUACUGACUCUGCUGAAGCCAAGAUCCCUGGGGUCAUAGAUUAUCUGGGAACUGUCAUCGAGGCAGGCUGUAAAUUUCUAAUAUUUGCUCAUCAUCAACCCAUGAUUGAUUCAAUACACGAGUUUCUUAUUGUAAGACCACUUAAUUUUUUUUUGAUAAUUCCUUUAGAUUUGCUCAUAAUGGAACCUUCAAAAUCUCCAGAAAAAGAAAGUGGGUUGCAUUCGCAUUGAUGGCAGCACUCCUCCGGCAUCAAGGCAAGCAUUAGUUACUGAUUUCCAGGAAAAGGAUGCUAUAAAGGCAGCAGUGCUUUCUAUCAGAGCUGGAGGUGUUGGGUUAACUUUAACGGCUGCAAGCACUGUUAUCUUUGCUGAGUUGUCUUGGACUCCUGGCGACCUAAUACAAGCUGAAGAUAGGGCUCACAGGAUUGGCCAGGUAAACUAUUAGCAAUUAGAGAUAUGGAAUUCUAGAAUAUUGAAUAGAAGUUGUCAAUCAUAUUGAUGUUUCAUUUCUAGAAAGGGUAUGAUUGGGAUGCUCUCUACAAGGAUUAGAAGCCCUGAAUUUAGCAUGACUAAGGUUUGGUUUAGCUUAGUAUUUAGCCCUAAUAGCAGUUUUACACUAUAGGAUCUUCAUUUUUGUUGUUUGUCACAUUAAAUGUUUCACUGAGUUAUCAGAAAUAUUCGUACUCUCUAAAGAUGAUGAUUGCAGUGCUUUUUGCCAAGUGGUGGUCUGUAAUGGGUGGUAGCUUGCUCAUGAAUUGGGAUCCAUGUGGAGCAGUACUUGUGGAACCACAAACAAAUGGGUGUGGAGGCAUGUUGAUAAGAUUUUGUGUUUGUAACUUGUUAGGGCAUGGCAUAUGAGGUUUUAGGACCGUAGGUGAGGCCUUGGCAUCAUUGCAUGCACAGAUAAUCAGAUAUGUAUUUGAAUGAUGUGCAGGCACUAUAUUUUAUCCGAAACUAAAGCAAUCUCACUGGAAACCAGAUUUGAUUUGCUCCCACACUAAGGAUUUGGAUUAUAUCUAAGUUUCCUUCAUAUGCUUGUUAUUACUGUUGAAUUUUGUUUUUUUUUUUAUGAUUUUUAUUUUUAAAUUUACUUGGGAAUUGUGGUGUUGCAUGUAUGAAUAUACUGGCUCCAGUGAUUAAGAACCCAGGAUGACAACAGUCACUGCUAUCAUUCCUGAGUCUUGUAUUCUACUCUGAGACACAACCCCAAAACUCAACUACAUGUUUACAACACCAUGACACUACUAAAAAAGAGAGGCCCUUCACCCCUUGUCAUUACUUGGUGGAUCAAUCUAUUGAAGAUUCAUUAGAUUGUCUGAUCUGUAAAGAACAUUGAAUUCUCAUCUUUAGAUGUCAGAAAGAGACCUCCGCACCCAAGGAUACAAGCAAGCUUUAUUACCAUUUUGACCCUCUAUUUUGCUAGGGUACACUGUUUUGAGUAGAAAUCUCCCAAAGAACUUCACAUAUAAAGCUGGCAUGAAGAACUUGCUGACCCCUCUUUGGUUGAAAUUUUCCCUAUGAUUGUUACAUGACAUCUUGUCCUUAGGGAUGAGCAUUCAGUUUCACCGAACCAAAUUCCAGCUAACCAAAUUAUUUAAUAUCUAAAUAAUAACGGAAUCAAUCAGAAAUCAAAAGAAAACUGAACAUAACCAAAACUGAAAAUAUUUGGUCUGUUUUCUUUUGUCUGUUAUAACUGAACUAAUUGAAAAAAGUUAAUUAUUAAUUAAUAAAAUAUUAAUAAAAAUGUAUUUAUAAUUAUUUAAAAAUAAUACACAUAAUAUAUUUUUAAUAAAAGAAUUAUUAUAAAUUGAAAUUAUU
rnacentral:misc_RNA from 1 species